rnacentral:rRNA from 1 species
ACCCGCUGAACUUAAGCAUAUCAAUAAGCGGAGAGAAAAGAAACCAACAGGGAUUGCCCUAGUAACGCCGAGUGAAGCGGCAACAGCUCAAAUUUGAAAUCUGGCGUCUUUGGCGUCCGAGUUGUAAUUUGCAGAGGGCGCUUUGGCUUUGGCAGCGGUCCAAGUUCCUUGGAACAGGACGUCACAGAGGGUGAGAAUCCCCGUACGUGGUCGCUAGCCUUUACCGUGUAAAGCCCCUUCGACGAGUAGAGUUGUUUGGGAAUGCAGCUCUAAAUGGGAGGUAAAUUUCUUCUAAAGCUAAAUACUGGCCAGAGUCCGAUAGCGCACAAGUAGAGUGAUCGAAAGAUGAAAAGCACUUUGGAAAGAGAGUUAAAAAGCACGUGAAAUUGUUGAAAGGGAAGCGCUUGCAGCCAGACUUGCCUGUAGUUGCUCAUCCGGGUUUUUACCCGGUGCACUCUUCUAUAGGCAGGCCAGCAUCAGUUUGGGCGGUUGGAUAAAGGUCUCUGUCAUGUACCUCUCUUCGGGGAGAACUUAUAGGGGAGACGACAUGCAACCAGCCCGGACUGAGGUCCGCGCAUCUGCUAGGAUGCUUGGCGUAAUGGCUGU